GCCCUUUCAAAUUCCGCCAAAAAUGCUUAUAUUUGGGCUGCCGGCUCGUCCGGCUAUGGCGCUAAACGCCUUGUGAAAUAAACGUAGCGGACCCGGGGGCAGUACCCGGCGCCUCCACCAGGAGUGCAUCGCAGUUCGAAUCAUGGCCGGUCCGUGCCGGCUUUCACCAUUCGAUGCAUUGCUGAUGGGGGCGAAACAGGAUCGACGCGCGUGGUAAAGACAAGGUUUGCGUUCGGU
rnacentral:tmRNA from 1 species